rnacentral:tRNA from 1 species
GGAGAGGUGUCCGAGUGGUUGAAGGAGCACGCCUGGAAAGUGUGUAUGCGGCAACGUAUCGAGGGUUCGAAUCCCUCUCUCUCCGCCA